CAGCAGCCACGGUAAUACGUAGGUGGCCAGCGUUGUCCGGAAUUAUUGGGCGUAAAGGGCUCGCAGGCGGUUUCUUAAGUCUGAUGUGAAAGCCCCCGGCUCAACCGGGGAGGGUCAUUGGAAACUGGGAAACUUGAGUGCAGAAGAGGAGAGUGGAAUUCCACGUGUAGCGGUGAAAUGCGUAGAGAUGUGGAGGAACACCAGUGGCGAAGGCGACUCUCUGGUCUGUAACUGACGCUGAGGAGCGAAAGCGUGGGGAGCGAACAGGAUUAGAUACCCCCGUAGUCCCUGUCUCUUAUAC
rnacentral:rRNA from 1 species